CCAGUCUCUUUGCCUGUAAGACGGAGAUAACAAACCUACUCUAGAGGUGUCCGAGGUCCAAUUCCCAGGUAAGGACACCCAACAGCUCCAGGCCCAGCAGGCCACAAGCUCACCUCAGCAGCAUCCUCCAUUCUGCCACCUCCCUCCUCAAGGAUGAGGAGGCGGGGCUCCUCCACUUAAGUGAUGUAGGAAGCCAAGGGGUGGGCAAUUGUCACUGUCUCCAAAGCAGUGUUCUGACAGUAGCAUACUGCUCUGUGCCUCAGUUUCCUCAUCUUUAAAAUGGGAGUAAAACAGCACCCACCCCAAGCUGGUAGUGCAGGGACAGUUCAGGUGGCCUGAGUGAGCACUCAGGAUUGGGCCUGGCACACUGUGACCACUGGACAUCUUAAGCUGUGGCUCUAGUGGCUCCUCUCCCUCCUCCCCUGCAUAAGAGACCAAAGUGACACUGUCUACCCCUCCAGGCAGCCAUUUCAAAACCCGUGUUCUGUCCAUGCAGAUAACUGAGGCCUGGGAGGAGAGAACACCAGCCCAAGGCCACAUGUGGAGCAGGCGGGGGAGUCGGACUGGAUGUCCUGCCGCAGAUUCCUCUUUUAGGGUUUCCUCCCUGGGAGUGGGUGGGUGUCACCCUUUGCGAAGAGGAUGGAUCCGAGAUGAGAUCAUUACUCACUGGCCUUGUUCUCCGGGUGGAGAAAGCACAGCAGGUCUCCCGGGAGACAAGUAGGAACGGAACAGGAGAGGGGCCAGGGGGCCCCCCAGGGGAGAGGGGCUCUCACCCGGGCACCCUCACUGCUCUUCGCUCCGUCUUUGUAUGAAGCAGUCUACACCAGCCCUGCCCCCAGACCUUGGGUGGCCUCAGACGCUCUGAGCCUUCUGCCAGGCUGGGACAGGCCCAGGCUCUGCCACCACAGUCAUCAUAGACCAGGCAUCAGAGUGCAGGUGCCAGGUGCCAGGGAGACGUGCCCACCCCUGUCCUGUGUCCCUCAGCUCCGCAGCCCGCAGGGUACAAUGUCCACUUCCCAGAUGAGGACGGGAGUUUACCUGCGAGGGGGAACCCAGCUGGUGCCUUGGGUGUCACAGUUUGAAACCAAAGCCACAGCGCCAGUGAAGAGCAAGUACUUUCAGACAGCUCCACAGCCAAUGGUUCCAGCUGCACUGCCCUGGCCCCGUGAGGCUCCUGGAUUCACGCUCAGAACCACGUCCCACGCCAUGAAUGAGCACACUUUUAGAAGGCUUCCCAGGAGUUCAUGAAUUUCCCAGAAUCAUCACUCUUUUGAAAUCUUCCAUGCAGCAGAAGAAUGAGCAAGAAAUGCAUCAUUUAAAAGAAAAUAAAGGGAAGGAAAAAAAAGGAACAGCUCAUGCUCUGAACAUUCUGCUUCUUACCUAAUGGAUCUAAAAGUACAGUAUUAACCACAUUGUCUCAAAUUGUUGGUGCCGAGCACCACAUGGGUGACAGCCAAGAGGAGUGGAAGGGGAGCAGCCUGGGCCACUCGCAGAGCUCUGAGCAGGCCCCUGACCCACUGCAUCCCCUCCUUACUCAGGUGGGGAAAGGGACUGAGCUCUGACCAUACCUGCACUGUCAAAGCAGAGAGACACUAGAUAGUAAGGGGCAGCGAUGGGGGGCACCAGAGGUCCCCAUAGGGGAUUCUGGAAGGGACAGCCAGGGAGAAUGACAGCUGUGGGAGUGAUGAUGUCCCAUCCUGUGGGGCUACUUCCAACUGAAAAUCCUUCAAUGUGUUAGCUUGCAUGUCCUGCAGAUGAGAUGACACUAAGGAUCUGGAGGUGGGAGGCUGUCCUGGUUUUCCCACAAAGCCUAGAGUAAUCAUAAGGUAUUUUAUGAGAGAAAAGAGGUAGAGGAGUCAGAGAAAGAGAAGUGAGGACAGAAUCAGUGAUGGAGUAAUGCAGGGCCACAGGCCAAGGAGUGCAGGCACCCUUGAGAAUAUGGAGAAUGCAAUGAAGGAGAAACAAAAAGAAGGAAAAUUCUUCAGAAUUUUCAGAAGGGAUGAAUCUUACUGACUCCUUCAAAUUUCC
rnacentral:lncRNA from 1 species